UAAGUUUGAAGUGAUAUUCAUAUUAUAUAAGUCAAUAGUUUUAAAGAAGUUAAGAUUUGCGAUCCUGUGGGAUAAAUAAAUUGUCCUAAAUAUGUGUGAUAAAUUUAAAACACGAGGGAAGGAACACGUAUCUAAAAUGAGUGAUGCAAAUAAACCGAGUUGCACCAAGCCCAAACAAUUCCAAGCUUUCAGCUGGAAAGAGAAACUGCUCCUGCUCCAAAAUACUGAAAAUGGUUACACAUGCAAAAACCCAAACCCUUCCAAAAGUCGCUUAUUCAAUCUUCCAAUCAGGAUGACUAAGAACAAUUAAAGGCGAUGAUUGGAUGCACCACAAAUGACGUCAAAUCUUUCUCGUUAUGGAAACUCUUAUUUGAACCCUAUUUCUAGAUUUUUCCAUUUGGCAAUUUGAACAGGGUAUUUUAUUUUUUAAAGCUGUUACUAUUUAAUUAUCAAAGACAGAACAUCUAUGGAUAAAGUAAUAACUAGUGAGUGUGUUCAUGUAGACGGGGAGUAACAAUGAGGGUUUGCUCCUCGAGAGUUAUAAGUGUGAGUAAGUCCUUGUUGGACCGACAACUCGUGUGCACGUUAGUCAAUAUGGCGGAACAUUGUUCUCUCGCCCACGAUAGUUGGAAGUGGGAGUGCAAGAGUCAAGAGUUUGUCAUAUGAUAAAUAUGGUGCUGUACUUAUAUAUAUAUAAAAGUGAGUUGGAAUUAGUUUAACUUACUGAACACCUUGAAUCCAUAUAUUAAGAUGUAUAAAUGUUAAUACUGGAGCUAAUAAUUAAAUACUGUUGAAUGCCA
rnacentral:lncRNA from 1 species